rnacentral:tmRNA from 1 species
GGCCUUCCCUUUUGCUUGCGGGCUUCCUAUAUUCGGCGCGUCAGCCUCGGCUGACUAUGGGCAUAAACGGCCGAUGCAAUAAGCCAUUCGGACCCGGGGGCGGUACCCGGCGCCUCCACCAGGAACCGCAGCGAGUGCGGCUGCUGAUGGGGGCGAAACAGGAUCGACGAGGGUGUAAAGAUCGGACUUUGUCCCGGCAUGGUAUCCACCGUUAUCGGGCCGAACCUAUAGUUGCCAACGACAACUAUGCUGAGGCGCGUCUCGCUGCGUAAUGCGGCGCGAUAGUCUCGAAUCAAGCCCUGCGGGUUAGCACCCUCAGGCGGGGUCCGGAGGUACCUGGCAACAGAAACCUCCACC